UACGAAGGGGGCUAGCGUUGUUCGGAAUUACUGGGCGUAAAGGGCGCGUAGGCGGCACUGUUAGUCAGGCGUGAAAGUCCUGGGCUCAACCUGGGAACUGCGCUUGAUACGGCAGAGCUAGAGGAUGGAAGAGGCUCGCGGAAUUCCCAGUGUAGAGGUGAAAUUCGUAGAUAUUGGGAAGAACACCGGUGGCGAAGGCGGCGAGCUGGACGGAUACUGACGCUGAGACGCGAAAGCGUGGGUAGCAAACAGG
rnacentral:rRNA from 1 species